CGCCGGGAAGCCCACGGGGCAGAGACCGGAGCGAGCCCGCCCUUCUCCAGCGGCGCGGCCUUCCAUUCAAGCCCCCCAUCGGCAGGGCCAGCGGGGCCGCAGAAGCGUGGCUCGCAGGGCCCAGCCGCAUGCACCGAGCUGAGCGCGCGCUGGCCUGUGUGAAGCCCAGGCAAGAACGGAGUGAUUGGUAGAGAGGAGGCUUUGCGUUUUCAGGAAUGCACUGUCCCCUUACCAGGAGCUCUGCAAGUGAGCAGGAAUGGCAGAAAGUAGCCUGUGCAGAGGCAGGAGAAUGGGAGUUCGCCACAGACUGUCCCUCUCUUUUCCUCCCGGCCAGAGUCUCAUCCAGCCCUGGGGAAGGAAGACACACGGUUGCAAUCACGCACCCCCACACCUGUCCAGAUCUUAGCUCGUGGCGUCACCCCUGAGGCUGGAACAGUCUCUGAAGAGGGGCUACACAGUUCCACGGGGGAACUGUGGAGGAAAACACAGGCCUGGCCUGCCAGCGAGGGAGCAGAGGGGCAGGGGAGUCCCAGAAAACGCUCUGGUCAGUAGACGCUUGAAGAGAAAACUCCGCCAUAGAAGGAGAGAGUCUGUGGCUCUGGAUACAUUCUAAAGAGAUCUGUGGCCUGAAGGAGGUUGAGAAGUUAUAAAGAAACAUGUGAAUUAAAAUGGAAGAAAGGGACAAUUGGAAGCAUAUCUGAGUUCUCUCCAGGCUUCACCUCAGGCUCUCCUUUCAGCUGGGAUGCUGCGGGUCCCACCCGGUCAUCACAGGACACUAGCAUCUUGUCUUUCAAAGUCUCAGUUGGAGCCACACUUAAUUUGGGAACCCUCUGAUUACCCUCAGUUGGCUUCUCCACCGUGAUCCCUGUCAUCUGUGUUCCUUUCUCUAAUGGUUCUGACCACGCUGUUUUAUAAGCACCGGCUUUGUCUUUCUCCCUCGCUAGACUGUGCCCUCCUUGAAGGAAGCAAGCAUGGCUUUCAUCCUCAUAUCCCCAGCCCCCAAGGGCAGAGUCUCACCCUGCAGAGAAGCUCAGGAGAUGUGCGUCGCAGGAGCACAGCUGCUGCAACUCUGCCUGCUCCACGCAGCUGUGCAGGAGUCACUGUCUGCACUGCAGCUCUGAGGUGCCCAACCCUCGUGGUGCUUCGGGGUGCUGUGUGGUUGAUCCCGGCACCAUAGGCGGGUGGGAAGCUACUUGGAAACAGAGCCUGUUUUCAUGCUCUCUAACUCACAAAAAAGCCCAGCCCACAUAAUUCCUUAUGAAUGCCUGUGAGGGACAGGGCAGGGUCCAGAUGGACAUCAGUAAAGGGGAGCUGAGCCCCUCUAGUGUUUGCCACGUCUCCAGGAGGAGACACUGCUGCUGAGUCUUCACAGAGAUGGGAUUAAGAAAGAAAAUUGAAACUUUUGGAAAGAAAUGCUAGAGUCUUAAUGCCAGCCAUCAAGGAUUUAAAUGGUCUUUUAAUGAUGUCAACCACAUCAGGUUUGCAAAAGUGUAUCAGGAAGGGGGUCCUGCCACAACCAGCAGAUCCAGCCCAGGAAGUGCCCUCCUUCCCCAGCCUGAGACUCCUCUCGCUCACUCAGACACAGGGCUGGGGUUACCUACAAGGAAAAUUUCAUCACGAAUGUGCCUGGGAAGAGGACUUUUUCUCUACUCCUCAGAGACUGCAUUACCGUCACCGAGAGGCAACAGGCAGCCAGGCUGGGGAAGCUUCUUCAUUCUCUCAAGCAGCACAAGCAGGAAACAGUGAGACCUCCAGGGAGAAAUGUAACUGCAAUACAUCAUUAGAGGACAUCUAAAUAGUUGGAGAAGCAGUCUAUAUUCAUGGAUCAGAAGACUAGAUGGCAAUGCUUCCCAAUUGACCUACAGAUUCAAGGCAAUCCCCAUGAGAAUCUCAGGUAACUUCCUUAUAGAAACUGAGAAGCUGAUUCUAAAAUGUAUAUGCGAGGGACCCAGAAGAGCCAAAAUAAUCUUGAAACAGAAGAAUAAGGUAGGCAUUCUCAUACUUCCUGAUUUCACAACUCACUACAAAGCAAAAGAAAUCAAGACGAUAUGAUCCUGGCAUUAAGAAAAUGGAGAGAUCAAUGAAAUGUCAUGGAGAGAGUCCAAAAAUAAAUCCACACAUUUAAUAGUCAACUGAUUUUUGACAAUGGUGUCAAAACCAUUCAGUGAGUAAAGAAUAAUCUUUUCAACAAAUGGUACUGGGACAAAUGUAUGCAGCCAUAUGCAAAAGAAUGAAGUUGAACCCUUACUUCACUCAAUUUAAAAGUUAACUUUAAAUGGAGCAAAGACCUAAAUAUAAAAAGCAAAACCAAAGAAAUCAUGGAAGAAAAAAGUAGAAUUAAGUCUUCAUGAUCUUGAAUUUGGCAAAGGAUUCUUAGAUGUGAUAUCAAGAGUACAAGCAAUAAAAAUUAUACUUUGUUGAAAUUAAAAACUUUUGUGCUCCAAAGGAAACCAUAAACAAAAUGAAAAGACAACACACAGAAUGGAAGAAAAUCUGCAAAUCACAUAUCUAAAAAGGGACUUAUAUCCAGAACAGAUAAAGAGCUCUUCAAUUCUUUAUUACUGAACUUUCAAUUCAGUCCUCAGUAAUAAAACAACAAAUAAUCUAUUUAAGGAAUGGACAAAGGAUCUGAGUAGAUGUUUCUCCAGGGAAUAUGUACAAAUGACCAGUGAGCACAUGAGAAGAUAAUCAGCCUCAUUAGUCAUCAGAGAAACGAACAUCAAAAAAAAAAAAAAAAUCACAGUGAGAUACCACUUCACCCCCACUGGCAUGACUAGAACAAAAAAGUUAGGCAGUAAUAAGUGUUGGUGAUGCUGUGGAAAAAUCAGAACCCUCAUAUCCUGCUAGUAGGAUAUUUUGUUCAUUGUGGAUUUUGUACUAAUGUUGAUUUUAAAAAAUAUUA